rnacentral:rRNA from 1 species
GAUGUCGCGUUAAGUCGCUAAACGAGCGAAACCCUUAUCCUUAGUUGCCAGCGCGUCAUGGCGGGGACUCUAAGGAGACUGCCGGUGUCAAACCGGAGGAAGGCGGGGAUGACGUCAAGUCCUCAUGGCCUUUAUGCCCAGGGCUGCACACGUGCUACAAUGGGGCGUACAAAGCGUUGCAAGUCCGCGAGGGCAAGCGAAUCGCAAAAAGCGUCCCCCAGUUCGGAUUGCAGGCUGCAACUCGCCUGCAUGAAGCCGGAAUCGCUAGUAAUCGCAGAUCAGCAUUGCUGCGGUGAAUGUGUUCCUGAGCCUUGUACACACCGCCCGUCAAGCCACGAAAGCGGGGGGCAUCCGAAGUCGCUGCGUGAACCGCAAGGACACAGGUGCCGAAGAUGAACUCCGUGAUUGGGACUAAGUCGUAACAAGGUAA